rnacentral:rRNA from 1 species
CGCUGGCGGCGUGCCUAACACAUGCAAGUCGAACGGGGUAAGAGACUUCGGUUUUUUACUUAGUGGCGAACGGGUGAGUAACGCGUGAGGAACCUGCCUUUCAGUGGGGGACAACAGUUGGAAACGACUGCUAAUACCGCAUAACAUAUUCGAGCGGCAUCGCUUGAAUAUCAAAGCUUUAUGUGCUGAAAGAUGGCCUCGCGUCUGAUUAGCUAGUUGGUGGGGUAACGGCCCACCAAGGCGACGAUCAGUAGCCGGUCUGAGAGGAUGAACGGCCACAUUGGGACUGAGAUACGGCCCAGACUCCUACGGGAGGUAGCAGUGGGGAAUAUUGGGCAAUGGGGGAAACCCUGACCCAGCAACGCCGCGUGAAGGAAGAAGGCCUUCGGGUUGUAAACUUCUUUUACCAGGGACGAAGGACGUGACGGUACCUGGAGAAAAAGCAACGGCUAACUACGUG